rnacentral:rRNA from 1 species
GACGAACGCUGGCGGCGUGCUUAACACAUGCAAGUCGAACGGAAAGGCCCUGCUUUUGUGGGGUGCUCGAGUGGCGAACGGGUGAGUAACACGUGAGUAACCUGCCCUUGACUUUGGGAUAACUUCAGGAAACUGGGGCAAAUACCGGUUAGGAGCUCCUGCUGCAUGGUGGGGGUUGGAAAGUUUCGGCGGUUGGGGAUGGACUCGGGGCUUAUCAGCUUGUUGGUGGGGUAGUGGCUUACCAAGGCUCUGACGGGUAGCCGGCCUGAGAGGGUGACCGGCCACAUUGGGACUGAGAUACGGCCCAGACUCCUACGGGAGGCAGCAGUGGGGAAUAUUGCACAAUGGGCGGAAGCCUGAUGCAGCAACGCCGCGUGCGGGAUGACGGCCUUCGGGUUGUAAACCGCUUUCGCCUGUGACGAAGCGUGAGUGACGGUAAUGGGUAAAGAAGCACCGGCUAACUACGUG